rnacentral:rRNA from 1 species
GUCAGGGAAUUACGAGCAAAGCUUAAAACCCAAAGGACUUGACGGUGCCCCAUAUCCCCCUAGAGGAGCCUGUCCUAUAAUCGAUACUCCACGUUUAACCUCACCAUAUCUAGCUUUUUCAGCCUGUAUACUUCCGUCGUAAGCCUACCACGUGAGCGACACAUAGUCAGCCUAAUGUCCGCACACUCAUGUGCUCAUACCGUCAAUACGUCAGGUCAAAGUGCAGCAAAUGUUAUGGGAAGAGAUGGGCUACACUUUUUAAUAUAAAAGAAACGAAUAAACAAAAUGAAACUUUGUUAUAGAAGGUGGAUUUAGAAGUAAAAGGAAAACAUUAUAUUCCUUUUAACCCGGCACUGGGGUGUGU